rnacentral:rRNA from 1 species
CACCGCGGUUAUACGAAAGGCCCUAGUUGCUAGCCACGGCGUAAAGGGUGGUUAAGGACAACAACAAAUAAAGCUAAAGAUCCCCUAAGCCGUCAUACGCAUUCCGGGGGCACGAAGCCCUAACACGAAAGUAGCUUUAAAAAAUAUACCUGACCCCACGAAAGCUAAGAAA